AAUGAAUAUAACAACAAAGUCAAAGUAAUACAUACAAUAAUUUAGCUAUGUUUGCUACAUUUAGGCUAUAUGUUUUAGAUGACUGUUAUUUGGAAUUGUAUGCAGAAAACACUGCAUAUUGUUGAUGGAAACGAACAAUUCAAGAUAAAUAAGGAUUUAUUAACAGAUCUCAAUCAAGAGAUUGACUCAAAUUUAGAGAUACUUAAAGACAGACUAAGAUGAAUCUGAGAGACACCUGGUUGGUGACAAUGCUGGGAAUACCCUAGCUGUGUGUGGAAUACACAUCAGAAAGCAUUCAUUUGUAAAGCGAGUCUGUUGUGAUGACGUGACUGUUGUACAUCAUUAUGUAUGAGUGGCAGACUUGCGUUUCUCGCCAACAGAGAAACUUGCUAAUCAGGGGAGGUCCUGUUUUCUGAGUGAAAUUACCUUUUUAUGAAGGGGACAAGUGGAUUUUGCCAUGAAGACAUGUCUUGUACAGUCCCUGUGACAGGAUCUGUUCUUUAAAGCCCAGGAGAAUGACUCAGAGUUUAUUUUAGUGCAACAUGUUCCUUUAAGCUCAACAUGUUUGGGCUUGUACUUCUGUAAUAAUGAGGAAAUUCCAUGGACCACUGAAGAAAAAAGCCAUACAUUUUAUUAAUGGAAGUAAGGAUAAAGACAAAUCCUAAAGAUUAAUAUUCAAGAAAUGUACACGUUAAGCAUUUGGAAACAGUUAUUCAUCUAUGCUAAAGUUAUUCAACUAUGCAACAACACAAAUGGAAGUUCGAGAAAAAAAAUCAAAACUGUCUUCAGUUGAUAAAAAUUGCCACUCUGUAUAAAUUACAUUUUUGUUGAUUAUCUCUACACACUUUAUGAGGUGCUUCUUCCAGUAUUAAAGGAGUUUCCACGUUGGCACUUA